GACGAACGCUGGCGGCGUGCUUAACACAUGCAAGUCGAACGGAAAGGCCCUGCUUGCAGGGUACUCGAGUGGCGAACGGGUGAGUAACACGUGGGUGAUCUGCCCUGCACUUCGGGAUAAGCGUUGGAAACUGGGUCUAAUACCGGAUAGGAUCCAUCUUUAGUGUGUUGGUUGGAAAGUUUUUUCGGUGUAGGAUGAGCUCGCGGCCUAUCAGCUUGUUGGUGGGGUAAUGGCCUACCAAGGCGGCGACGGGUAGCCGGCCUGAGAGGGUGUACGGCCACAUUGGGACUGAGAUACGGCCCAGACUCCUACGGGAGGCAGCAGUGGGGAAUAUUGGACAAUGGGCGCAAGCCUGAUGCAGCGACGCCGCGUGGGGGAUGAAGGCCUUCGGGUUGUAAACUAAUUUCGCUAGGGACGAAGCUUUUUUGUGACGGUACCUAGAUAAGAAGCACCGGCUAACUCCGUG
rnacentral:rRNA from 1 species